rnacentral:sRNA from 2 species
UCGGCCGUAAGUGGGGAGUAGUCGGCUUGCGCCGCCCUGGCGCAGGAAUUUGCAUCAACAUCAUCGGUCCGCAGACCGUGGUGCAAAUGGUUGAAAAACUUGACGAGACCAUGAUCGAAGCGCGGCCAUCGUGGGCCGGGGACGCGCUUUGGAUCAUAGGUUCUUAUCGGCCGGCCCGCGCAUCU